rnacentral:ncRNA from 1 species
GCAGCCAGAUGUCGAAAAAGAGACUCUUUUUGGCAGAAAGUCGGAGAUGAGUACCGACUGUACACUUGUAAAUUGCGGGAAACUCCUAAAGCCUACUCCCACCGCGUCUUAAGGGUGACCUUGAGAUGCAGCAGACAGGGUAACGCCUGUUGGAUGGUAAAAGUGGAGAGGAUUGGCCUCGAACACGCCCUUCGAGAAAUGCCUGAAUGGACAAUCCGCAGCCAAGCUGCUCUCUUGCCAGACAAGAGGCAGAAGGUUCAGAGACUAUAAUCAGGUGGGCUGUUGCGGGUGGGCUGGUUCCACUCGUGAUGGCUUGAGGUAUAGUCCACUCCCACCCGAAAGGGUGCU